UAUAAAAUACCUGGACAGGAUCAUGCCA
rnacentral:piRNA from 1 species